UACGGAAGGCAGCAGGGGGAAUCUUGCGCAAUGGGCGAAAGCCUGACGCAGCCAUGCCGCGUGAAUGAUGAAGGUCUUAGGAUUGUAAAAUUCUUUCACCGGGGACGAUAAUGACGGUACCCGGAGAAGAAGCCCCGGCUAACUUCGUGCCAGCAGCCGCGGUAAUACGAAGGGGCUAGCGUUGCUCGGAAUUACUGGGCGUAAAGGGCGCGUAGGCGGAUCGUUAAGUCAGAGGUGAAAUCCCAGGGCUCAACCCCUGGAACUGCCUUUGAUACUGGCGAUCUUGAGUAUGAGAGAGGUAUGUGGAACUCCGAGUGUAGAGGUGAAAUUCGUAGAUAUUCGGAAGAACACCAGUGGCGAAGGCGACAUACUGGCUCAUUACUGACGCUGAGGGCGCGAAAGCGUGGGGAGCAAACAGGGAUUAGAUACCCGU
rnacentral:rRNA from 1 species